rnacentral:rRNA from 1 species
UUGAACGCUGGCGGCAGGCUUAACACAUGCAAGUCGAACGGUAACAGGAAUCAGCUUGCUGAUUCGCUGACGAGUGGCGGACGGGUGAGUAAUGUCUGGGAAACUGCCUGAUGGAGGGGGAUAACUACUGGAAACGGUAGCUAAUACCGCAUAACGUCGCAAGACCAAAGAGGGGGACCUUCGGGCCUCUUGCCAUCGGAUGUGCCCAGAUGGGAUUAGCUAGUAGGUGGGGUAACGGCUCACCUAGGCGACGAUCCCUAGCUGGUCUGAGAGGAUGACCAGCCACACUGGAACUGAGACACGGUCCAGACUCCUACGGGAGGCAGCAGUGGGGAAUAUUGCACAAUGGGCGCAAGCCUGAUGCAGCCAUGCCGCGUGUAUGAAGAAGGCCUUCGGGUUGUAAAGUACUUUCAGCGGGGAGGAAGGGAGUAAAGUUAAUACCUUUGCUCAUUGACGUUACCCGCAGAAGAAGCACCGGCUAACUCCGUGCCAGCAGCCGCGGUAAUACGGAGGGUGCAAGCGUUAAUCGGAAUUACUGGGCGUAAAGCGCACGCAGGCGGUUUGUUAAGUCAGAUGUGAAAUCCCCGGGCUCAACCUGGGAACUGCAUCUGAUACUGGCAAGCUUGAGUCUCGUAGAGGGGGGUAGAAUUCCAGGUGUAGCGGUGAAAUGCGUAGAGAUCUGGAGGAAUACCGGUGGCGAAGGCGGCCCCCUGGACGAAGACUGACGCUCAGGUGCGAAAGCGUGGGGAGCAAACAGGAUUAGAUACCCUGGUAGUCCACGCCGUAAACGAUGUCGACUUGGAGGUUGUGCCCUUGAGGCGUGGCUUCCGGAGCUAACGCGUUAAGUCGACCGCCUGGGGAGUACGGCCGCAAGGUUAAAACUCAAAUGAAUUGACGGGGGCCCGCACAAGCGGUGGAGCAUGUGGUUUAAUUCGAUGCAACGCGAAGAACCUUACCUGGUCUUGACAUCCACAGAACUUUCCAGAGAUGGAUUGGUGCCUUCGGGAACUGUGAGACAGGUGCUGCAUGGCUGUCGUCAGCUCGUGUUGUGAAAUGUUGGGUUAAGUCCCGCAACGAGCGCAACCCUUAUGGUCAGUUACUACGCAAGAGGACUCUGGCCAGACUGCCGUUGACAAAACGGAGGAAGGUGGGGAUGACGUCAAAUCAUCAUGCCCCUUAUGACCAGGGCUACACACGUGCUACAAUGGCGCAUACAAAGAGAAGCGACCUCGCGAGAGCAAGCGGACCUCAUAAAGUGCGUCGUAGUCCGGAUUGGAGUCUGCAACUCGACUCCAUGAAGUCGGAAUCGCUAGUAAUCGUGGAUCAGAAUGCCACGGUGAAUACGUUCCCGGGCCUUGUACACACCGCCCGUCACACCAUGGGAGUGGGUUGCAAAAGAAGUAGGUAGCUUAACCUUCGGGAGGGCGCUUACCACUUUGUGAUUCAUGACUGGGGUG